UACGAAGGGGGCUAGCGUUGCUCGGAAUCACUGGGCGUAAAGCGUGCGUAGGUGGUUUGUUAAGUCUGUUGUGAAAGCCCCGGGCUUAACCUGGGAAUGGCCGUCGAAACUGGCGAACUGGAGUGUGGCAGAGGGGGGUGGAAUUCCGCGUGUAGCAGUGAAAUGCGUAGAGAUGCGGAGGAACACCGAUGGCGAAGGCAGCCCCCUGGGCUGACACUGACGCUCAGGCACGAAAGCGUGGGGAGCAAACAGG
rnacentral:rRNA from 1 species